rnacentral:rRNA from 2 species
UGAGGAAUAUUGCGCAAUGGAGGCAACUCUGACGCAGCCAUGCCGCGUGCAGGAAGAAGGCGCUACGCGUUGUAAACUGCUUUUAAUCGGGAAGAAACCCCGGGACGUGUCCCGGGUUGACGGUACCGAUGGAAUAAGCACCGGCUAACUUCGUGCCAGCAGCCGCGGUAAUACGAAGGGUGCAAGCGUUAUCCGGAUUCAUUGGGUUUAAAGGGUGCGUAGGCGGAACAAUAAGUCAGCGGUGAAAGCCUGCAGCUUAACUGCAGAAUUGCCGUUGAUACUGUUGUUCUUGAGUACGUUUGACGUGGGCGGAAUGUGCCGUGUAGCGGUGAAAUGCUUAGAUAUGGCACAGAACACCGAUAGUGAAGACAGCUCACGAAGACGAAACUGACGCUGAGGCACGAAAGCGUGGGGAUCAAACAGG